rnacentral:rRNA from 1 species
UUAAGUUAUUAAGGGCGCACGGUGGAUGCCUUGGCACUAGAAGCCGAUGAAGGACGUUACUAACGACGAUAUGCUUUGGGGAGCUGUAAGUAAGCUUUGAUCCAGAGAUUUUCCGAAUGGGGAAACCCAGCAUGAGUUAUGUCAUGUUAUCGAUAUGUGAAUACAUAGCAUAUCAGAAGGCACACCCGGAGAACUGAAACAUCUUAGUACCCGGAUGAAGAGAAAGAAAAUUCGAUUCCCUUAGUAGCGGCGAGCGAAACGGGAAGAGCCCAAACCAACAAGCUUGCUUGUUGGGGUUGUAGGACACUCUAUACGGAGUUACAAAGGACGACAUUAGACGAAUCAUCUGGAAAGAUGAAUCAAAGAAGGUAAUAAUCCUGUAGUCGAAAAUGUUGUCUCUCUUGAGUGGAUCCUGAGUACGACGGAGCACGUGAAAUUCCGUCGGAAUCUGGGAGGACCAUCUCCUAAGGCUAAAUACUCUCUAGUGACCGAUAGUGAACCAGUACCGUGAGGGAAAGGUGAAAAGCACCCCGGAAGGGGAGUGAAAUAGAACCUGAAACCGUGUGCUUACAAGUAGUCAGAGCCCGUUAAUGGGUGAUGGCGUGCCUUUUGUAGAAUGAACCGGCGAGUUACGAUUUGAUGCAAGGUUAAGCAGUAAAUGUGGAGCCGUAGCGAAAGCGAGUCUGAAUAGGGCGUUUAGUAUUUGGUCGUAGACCCGAAACCAGGUGAUCUACCCUUGGUCAGGUUGAAGUUCAGGUAACACUGAAUGGAGGACCGAACCGACUUACGUUGAAAAGUGAGCGGAUGAACUGAGGGUAGCGGAGAAAUUCCAAUCGAACCUGGAGAUAGCUGGUUCUCUCCGAAAUAGCUUUAGGGCUAGCCUCAAGUGAUGAUUAUUGGAGGUAGAGCACUGUUUGGACGAGGGCCCCUCUCGGGUUACCGAAUUCAGACAAACUCCGAAUGCCAAUUAAUUUAACUUGGGAGUCAGAACAUGGGUGAUAAGGUCCGUGUUCGAAAGGGAAACAGCCCAGACCACCAGCUAAGGUCCCAAAAUAUAUGUUAAGUGGAAAAGGAUGUGGCGUUGCCCAGACAACUAGGAUGUUGGCUUAGAAGCAGCCAUCAUUUAAAGAGUGCGUAAUAGCUCACUAGUCGAGUGACACUGCGCCGAAAAUGUACCGGGGCUAAACAUAUUACCGAAGCUGUGGAUUGUCCUUUGGACAAUGGUAGGAGAGCGUUCUAAGGGCGUUGAAGCAUGAUCGUAAGGACAUGUGGAGCGCUUAGAAGUGAGAAUGCCGGUGUGAGUAGCGAAAGACGGGUGAGAAUCCCGUCCACCGAUUGACUAAGGUUUCCAGAGGAAGGCUCGUCCGCUCUGGGUUAGUCGGGUCCUAAGCUGAGGCCGACAGGCGUAGGCGAUGGAUAACAGGUUGAUAUUCCUGUACCACCUAUAAUCGUUUUAAUCGAUGGGGGGACGCAGUAGGAUAGGCGAAGCGUGCGAUUGGAUUGCACGUCUAAGCAGUAAGGCUGAGUAUUAGGCAAAUCCGGUACUCGUUAAGGCUGAGCUGUGAUGGGGAGAAGACAUUGUGUCUUCGAGUCGUUGAUUUCACACUGCCGAGAAAAGCCUCUAGAUAGAAAAUAGGUGCCCGUACCGCAAACCGACACAGGUAGUCAAGAUGAGAAUUCUAAGGUGAGCGAGCGAACUCUCGUUAAGGAACUCGGCAAAAUGACCCCGUAACUUCGGGAGAAGGGGUGCUCUUUAGGGUUAACGCCCAGAAGAGCCGCAGUGAAUAGGCCCAAGCGACUGUUUAUCAAAAACACAGGUCUCUGCUAAACCGUAAGGUGAUGUAUAGGGGCUGACGCCUGCCCGGUGCUGGAAGGUUAAGAGGAGUGGUUAGCUUCUGCGAAGCUACGAAUCGAAGCCCCAGUAAACGGCGGCCGUAACUAUAACGGUCCUAAGGUAGCGAAAUUCCUUGUCGGGUAAGUUCCGACCCGCACGAAAGGCGUAACGAUUUGGGCACUGUCUCAACGAGAGACUCGGUGAAAUCAUAGUACCUGUGAAGAUGCAGGUUACCCGCGACAGGACGGAAAGACCCCGUGGAGCUUUACUGUAGCCUGAUAUUGAAAUUCGGCACAGCUUGUACAGGAUAGGUAGGAGCCUUUGAAACGUGAGCGCUAGCUUACGUGGAGGCGCUGGUGGGAUACUACCCUAGCUGUGUUGGCUUUCUAACCCGCACCACUUAUCGUGGUGGGAGACAGUGUCAGGCGGGCAGUUUGACUGGGGCGGUCGCCUCCUAAAAGGUAACGGAGGCGCUCAAAGGUUCCCUCAGAAUGGUUGGAAAUCAUUCAUAGAGUGUAAAGGCAUAAGGGAGCUUGACUGCGAGACCUACAAGUCGAGCAGGGUCGAAAGACGGACUUAGUGAUCCGGUGGUUCCGCAUGGAAGGGCCAUCGCUCAACGGAUAAAAGCUACCCCGGGGAUAACAGGCUUAUCUCCCCCAAGAGUUCACAUCGACGGGGAGGUUUGGCACCUCGAUGUCGGCUCAUCGCAUCCUGGGGCUGUAGUCGGUCCCAAGGGUUGGGCUGUUCGCCCAUUAAAGCGGUACGCGAGCUGGGUUCAGAACGUCGUGAGACAGUUCGGUCCCUAUCCGUCGUGGGCGUAGGAAAUUUGAGAGGAGCUGUCCUUAGUACGAGAGGACCGGGAUGGACAUACCUCUGGUGUACCAGUUGUCGUGCCAACGGCAUAGCUGGGUAGCUAUGUGUGGACGGGAUAAGUGCUGAAAGCAUCUAAGCAUGAAGCCCCCCUCAAGAUGAGAUUUCCCAACUUCGGUUAUAAGAUCCCUCAAAGAUGAUGAGGUUAAUAGGUUCGAGGUGGAAGCAUGGUGACAUGUGGAGCUGACGAAUACUAAUCGAUCGAAGACUUAAUCAA